CGUAAAGAACCUAUCCUAUGCAGGGGGAUAGCCCUGGGAAACUGGGGGUAAUACCGCAUAAGCAGAUAUUGACGCAUGUUAAUGUCUGGAAAGGGAUACGAAAGUAUGCCAGCAGAGGAGGGCUUUGCGGCCUAUCAGGUAGUUGGUGGGGUAACGGCCUACCAAGCCAGAGACGGGUAGCUGGUCUAAGAGGAUGGACAGCCACACUGGGACUGAGAUACGGCCCAG
rnacentral:rRNA from 1 species